CCUGGUUGCCAGAGGUUCUCGUGUCUUUCGCCUUAAGUGGGAAUAAGGCGAAUGAUACGAGAACCUCUGGCAACCAGGGUAAUCC